rnacentral:lncRNA from 1 species
GAUGGAAUGUCUUUUAGGAAAAGUGCAACACAAUUUGUGGUGUGUCCUUUUGAAUAGGAGACAAGAAAAAGCUCCUCCAUGCUCUGCUAGCUCAGAUUAUUCAUUGAAAGUAGAAAAAAUCUCCUGUCCUGAACCCGAAGCCACCUGAGUCUUUGCUUUUCGGAUGUGAUUUCAGGUAGACUUUUCUGGAAGACCCAGACCUCGAGUUGGAAUGGGGAGAACACUUAAACACUUGAUGUGCAGACAUCCUGAGCUUCAGCUGAUCUUACAAGCACAAAGGUCUUUUGUAGGAGGAAUGUACCUACAAAUGUCUGAAUCGUCUAAAAUAUCAGAACUUAUAAGUCAGCAUUUUCAUAUAAAAGUGAAUUAGAAGCAGUUUGAGAAUGCAGUGCUAAUUCAUAUAUGCAUACAUUCAUAACUUGCAUAAAUAUGUUAAAAGUUGUUUGGAAAUGUGACCCAAUGACAUGGAUCCUACUUCUAGACUUUUGAAAAUAUCUGCAUAUGGUUCUUAUCCUUUAGCACUAACAUGACACAUAUAAACAGAUGUAAAUAGCUAAAAGGGGCCUGUAAGCUACUUUGUAAGCACGGCAGGCAAAUACUUCACCAAACUUCUUGGCAUGGUGAAUAUCACCUCUGCCUACCUACACUGUGGGUGAAAGUCCUUAGACCUUGGGUUAUGAUGUAAGUCAUGGAUCUCAGAAUUAGGAAGGAUAUCUGAGGAACUUAGCAGAAUGAUUUAAUCAGUGUCAAGGCAACUUCUUCACCUUUUCAGAGUAGUGGUCACCCAGCCUGUUGGAAUAUGCCCCUCCAAGUGUGCUGAAAUUUACAGAGAUGAUAAGAAAAAAGUUAAUAUGGGGAUAACUAUUGUUAAUGUUUUGCUUAUUUCCU